GGGCCCGCACAAGCGGUGGAGCAUGUGGUUCAAUUCGAAGCAACGCGCAGAACCUUACCAGCCUUUGACAUCCCGGUCGCGAGCACCAGAGAUGGAGCUCUUCAGUUCGGCUGGACCGGAGACAGGUGCUGCAUGGCUGUCGUCAGCUCGUGUCGUGAGAUGUUGGGUUAAGUCCCGCAACGAGCGCAACCCUCGCCCUUAGUUGCCAUCAUUUAGUUGGGCACUCUAAGGGGACUGCCGGUGAUAAGCCGGAGGAAGGUGGGGAUGACGUCAAGUCCUCAUGGCCCUUACAGGCUGGGCUACACACGUGCUACAAUGGCGGUGACAGAGGGACGCAAAGGGGCAACCCUUCGCAAAUCUCAAAAAGCCGUCUCAGUUCGGAUUGUGCUCUGCAACUCGAGCACAUGAAGUUGGAAUCGCUAGUAAUCGCAGAUCAGCACGCUGCGGUGAAUACGUUCCCGGGCCUU
rnacentral:rRNA from 1 species